rnacentral:tRNA from 1 species
GGUCUUGUAGUAUAAUGGAUAGUAUAUGGGCCUCCGAAGCCUAUGGUCCGGGUUCGAGUCCCGGCAAGACCACAA